rnacentral:tRNA from 1 species
CCUGAUAGCUCAGUUGGUAAAGAAUCUGUCUGCAAUGCAGGAUACCUGGGUUCGAUCCCUGGGUCAGGA